rnacentral:rRNA from 1 species
GAUGAACGCUGGCGGCGUGCUUAACACAUGCAAGUCGAACGGAUUUUGGAGAGUGCUUGCACUCGCUAAAAUUAGUGGCGGACGGGUGAGUAACGCGUGGGUAACCUGCCUCACACAGGGGGAUAACAGCCGGAAACGGCUGCUAAUACCGCAUAAGCGCACGGUAUCGCAUGGUACAGUGUGAAAAACUCCGGUGGUGUGAGAUGGACCCGCGUCUGAUUAGCUGGUUGGUGGGGUAACGGCCCACCAAGGCGACGAUCAGUAGCCGGCCUGAGAGGGUGAACGGCCACAUUGGGACUGAGACACGGCCCAA